CGGGGUGUAGCGCAGCUUGGUAGCGCAUCUGCUUUGGGAGCAGAGGGUCGGGAGUUCGAAUCUCUCCACCCCGACCA
rnacentral:tRNA from 1 species